ACGAAAAAAGAAAACCAUUUCAUUUCUCUUUUUUCUUCCUCAUCUCAUUCACACUUCUUCUUCCUCUCUAGGGUUAAGAGUAGGGAGAAGCCAAGGUUUUGGCUAAGCAGCCAUGAGUGAGACGAGAGAUAAGCAUUGCAUACCCAGAUCCGUUUCUUACAACCCAAAUUCUUCGUUGUUGUUCUCCUUUAGCUCUUCCUUUACUCUCCGUAGCUCUCACCUUCUCAUUAAAAUGUCAAUUUCAUCUCGUCGGAGAAGGGUUUUGAGUCUAUUGAGCAAAGGACUGCAAGAGGUUUUACAGAUCGAAAUCACCGAAGAAGAUUUUUCUCACUAGGACCGACUAUGACAGAGGAGUCAACACUUUUUCUCCCGAAGGAAAGCUGUUCCAAGUUGAACUCUUGAGGUGGAUAGUGGUUACUUUGCAGGCUAUUUGCAGCUGCAGAAGGAGCUUGAUGAGUAUGAGAAGAAGAUGUCACUCAUGGAGGCUAUAACAGAUAACAAAAUCAGUUCAAGUUCUUGCUAAAAGAGAUGCCGAUGCCAACAGCCAAGCAGUUAAUUUGGAAGUUUUGAGCAUACUUCUUCAGGGAGAUCAAGUAUGUUGACCCUUACAAACCAUAUUUCUCAUUUCUAAUGUAUAUGUGUUCAGAUAUCUCUAGUUGUUACUAAACCUUAUUUGCUAUCUGUUAGUGUAACCAUAUUACUGUUAUAGUAAGGAAAACAAAUGUGUUGAGGUGAACAUUAGGAGUUAUGCAUUUUAUGGAUCUACGAUGAGCAUGCAUUUCUUUAUCUACUCUGCUGCCUCAAAGUCGGAGCUCUUGACUGUUGAGUUUGUACCUGGUCGAAUCUAAGAACGUUCAAGCGAUUUGAAACUAGAGCUUGUGUCAAUUGAAACAGAAUUAGGUUUGAUAGAUUGAAUAUGAGGCAAAGGAUCGAUUAAAUCUCUGCUCAUGAGGUAUUUCUAACACUUCUCGUAUUUUAAAAUGCAUCUCACUGAUAUGGGUUUUUAAAGAUCUGAAUGGUGUCUGAAAUGUUGUUCUUUGUUAUAAUGCCUUAGAAAUUAUAUUGACCAUUGGUCAUUAACUGUUGACAUGUAUUAGUUUCUUUGUUUUGUGCAAGAAGAAGCAGAGAUCAAUUAUGGUUUAGCAGGUGAUCUAUUAAGCAAGAAGAGGAGCAUUAGAUGAUGAUUGAUCUCAUAUAUUAGUACUCUUAUCUUGUAAUAGUAGAGUAGUUGAUUUUUUUGUAUUAGAUUUGGUUUGGAUUAAUCUUUGUAAGACUUAUAUAGGUUUUUAUGGAUUUUAUAUGAAAUAAAAAUAUAUUUAAAUAUA